UACGAAGGGGGCUAGCGUUGCUCGGAAUCACUGGGCGUAAAGCGCACGUAGGCGGAUUGCUAAGUCAGGGGUGAAAUCCUGGAGCUCAACUCCAGAACUGCCCUUUGAUACUGGCGAUCUUGAGUCCGGGAGAGGUGAGUGGAACUGCGAGUGUAGAGGUGAAAUUCGUAGAUAUUCGCAAGAACACCAGUGGCGAAGGCGGCUCACUGGCCCGGUACUGACGCUGAGGUGCGAAAGCGUGGGGAGCAAACAGGG
rnacentral:rRNA from 1 species